rnacentral:rRNA from 1 species
GACGAACGCUGGCGGCGUGCUUAACACAUGCAAGUCGAACGGAAAGGCCCUGCUUUUGUGGGGUGCUCGAGUGGCGAACGGGUGAGUAACACGUGAGUAACCUGCCCUUGACUUUGGGAUAACUUCAGGAAACUGGGGCUAAUACCGGAUAGGAGCUCCUGCUGCAUGGUGGGGGUUGGAAAGUUUCGGCGGUUGGGGAUGGACUCGCGGCUUAUCAGCUUGUUGGUGGGGUAGUGGCUUACCAAGGCUUUGACGGGUAGCCGGCCUGAGAGGGUGACCGGCCACAUUGGGACUGGGAUACGGCCCAGACUCCUACGGGAGGCAGCAGUGGGGAAUAUUGCACAAUGGGCGGAAGCCUGAUGCAGCAACGCCGCGUGCGGGAUGACGGCCUUCGGGUUGUAAACCGCUUUCGCCUGUGACGAAGCGUGAGUGACGGGAAUGGGUAAAGAAGCACCGGCUAACUACGG